UACGUAGGGUGCGAGCGUUGUCCGGAAUUAUUGGGCGUAAAGAGCGUGUAGGCGGCCAGGUAGGUCCGUUGUGAAAACUGGAGGCUUAACCUCCAGCUGUCGAUGGAAACCAUCUGGCUAGAGUCCGGAAGAGGAGAGUGGAAUUCCUGGUGUAGCGGUGAAAUGCGCAGAUAUCAGGAAGAACACCGGUGGCGAAGGCGGCCUGCUGGGCAGUAGCUGACGCUGAAGCGACGACAGCGGUGGGGAAGCAAACGAUGG
rnacentral:rRNA from 1 species